rnacentral:tRNA from 1 species
GGGGAUAGCUCAGUGGUAGAGCCUGUGCUUAACAUGCAGGAGGUUCUGGGUUCAAUCCCCAGGACCUCCU